rnacentral:rRNA from 1 species
UACAGAGGGUGCAGGCGUUAAUCGGAAUUACUGGGCGUAAAGCGCGCGUAGUCGGUUAUUUAAGUCGGAUGUGAAAUCCCCGGGCUCAACCUGGGAAUUGCAUUCGAUACUGGAUAGCUAGAGUUCGGCAGAGGGAAGCGGAAUUUCGGGUGUAGCGGUGAAAUGCGUAGAUAUCCGAAGGAACAUCAGUGGCGAAAGCGGCUUCCUGGACCAGAACUGACGAUCAGGCUCGAAAGCGUGGGGAGCAAACAGG